rnacentral:rRNA from 1 species
CACAGGGAGGUAGUGACAGUAUAUAACAAUACAGGGCUCUUCGAGUCUUGUAAUUGGAAUGAGUACAAUCUAAAGCCCUUAACGAGGAACAAUUGGAGGGAAAGUCUGGUGCCAGCAGCCGCGGUAAUUCCAGCUCCAAUAGCGUAUAUUAAAGUUGUUGCAGUUAAAAAGCUCGUAGUUGAAUUUGGGACGGGCGUGCUGGUCCACCGAUCGGUGAGCACUGGCCAGCCCGUUCUUCUUUCUGGCUAGCCGUACUGUUCUUAAUUGGGCGGUGCGGUGAUCCAGGACUUUUACUUUGAAAAAAUUAGAGUGUUCAAAGCAGGCGUUUGCUUGAAUACAUUAGCAUGGAAUAACGAAUAGGACUUUGGUUCUAUUUUGUUGGUUUCUAGGACCGAAGUAAUGAUUAAUAGGGACAGUUGGGGGCAUUAGUAUUUAAUUGUCAGAGGUGAAAUUCUUGGAUUUAUGAAAGACUAACUUCUGCGAAAGCAUUUGCCAAGGAUGUUUUCAUUAAUCAAGGACGAAAGUCAGGGGAUCGAAGACGAUCAGAUACCGUCGUAGUCUUGACCAUAAACUAUGCCAACUCAGGAUCAGUGAUACGUCAUUUUACGCGUUCAUUGGCACUGUAUGAGAAAUCAAAGUGUUUGGGUUCUGGGGGGAGUACGGUCGCAAGGCUGAAACUUAAAGGAAUUGACGGAAGGGCACCACCCAGGAGUGGAGCCUGCGGCUUAAUUUGACUCAACACGGGGAAACUUACCAGGCCAGAACAUAAGAAGGAUUGACAGAUUGAGAGCUCUUUCUUGAUUUUAUGGGUGGUGUGCAUGGCCGUUCUUAGUUGGUGGAGUGAUUUGUCUGGUUAAUUCCGAUAACGAACGAGACCUUAUCCUGCUAAAUAGUCACGUCAACUUUUAGUUGACGGCCGACUUCUUAGAGGGACUGUUGCUGUUUAAGCAAUGGAAGUUUGAGGCAAUAACAGGUCUGUGAUGCCCUUAGAUGUUCUGGCCGCACGCGCGCUACACUGAUGAAGUCAGCGAGUUCUUCCUUGCUCGAGAGGCUGGGUAAUCUUGUGAAACUUCAUCGUGCUGGGGAUAGACCUUUGCAAUUAUUGGUCUUCAACGAGGAAUUCCUAGUGAGCGCAAGUCAUCAGCUUGCGUUGAUUACGUCCCUGCCUUUGUACACACCGCCCGUCGCUACUACCGAUU